rfam:Canis lupus familiaris chromosome 31, whole genome shotgun sequence.
ACCUGGCUGGCUCAGUUGGUGGAGCAUGUGACUCUUGAUCUCAGGGUGGUGAGUUCAAGUCUCAUGCUGGGUG